AGAGCGCUCAGAUGCACAGGGUGCCUGCUAUAGUUCUGGCGGCGGACCAGGAAUGCACUGUGGUUAGCUACAUUCCUUCACUUCUGGCAAUGGGCUUUUGCAGCCACACAUUCUUGAAUCCAGUGAGCUACCGUGAAUACAAGGAAGAAGCAAAUUAUCCACCCAGAAGGAAGGAGACAGGAGGGGGAGUGGGGCUGGAGUACUGAACACAGUUUCUUACUGGACUUGAAGAAAACUCCUGCAUUCACCGAGUCUGAAGUGUGUUUUUAGAAGAAUACAAGUAUGGCAGACAGUGCUGGCUUGACUGGGGAUGUGGGAGAAGGAUGCUCCUGUUUCUCAAUUGUGAGCUUCACAAGCUCCUGCAGAAAUGUAUGUCAGCAUUUGAGACAUCGUGUCAGAAAGAGGCUAAACCCACCUUCACUCCGUCCAGCACUGCCUUUAUAACCCCGGUUACCG